GACGAACGCUGGCGGCGUGCUUAACACAUGCAAGUCGAACGAUGAAGCCGGAGCUUGCUCCGGUGGAUUAGUGGCGAACGGGUGAGUAACACGUGAGCAAUCUGCCCUUGACUCUGGGAUAACUGCGGGAAACUGUAGCUAAUACCGGAUACGACACCUUGGGGCAUCCCAGGGUGUGGAAAGAAUUUCGGUCAAGGAUGAGCUCGCGGCCUAUCAGCUAGUUGGUGAGGUAAUGGCUCACCAAGGCGACGACGGGUAGCCGGCCUGAGAGGGUAACCGGCCACACUGGAACUGAGACACGGUCCAGACUCCUGCGGGAGGCAGCAGUGGGGAAUAUUGCACAAUGGGCGAAAGCCUGAUGCAGCAACGCCGCGUGAGGGAUGAAGGCCUUCGGGUUGUAAACCUCUUUUAGCAGGGAAGAAGCGAAAGUGACGGUACCUGCAGAAAAAGCACCGGCUAACUACGUGCCAGCCGCCGCAGUAA
rnacentral:rRNA from 1 species